GAUGAACGCUGGCGGCGUGCCUAAUACAUGCAAGUCGAGCGAACAGACGAGGAGCUUGCUCCUCUGACGUUAGCGGCGGACGGGUGAGUAACACGUGGAUAACCUACCUAUAAGACUGGGAUCUCUUCGGGAAACCGGAGCUAAUACCGGAUAAUAUAUUGAACCGCAUGGUUCAAUAGUGAAAGACGGUUUUGCUGUCACUUAUAGAUGGAUCCGCGCCGCAUUAGCUAGUUGGUAAGGUAACGGCUUACCAAGGCGACGAUGCGUAGCCGACCUGAGAGGGUGAUCGGCCACACUGGAACUGAGACACGGUCCAGACUCCUACGGGAGGCAGCAGUAGGGAAUCUUCCGCAAUGGGCGAAAGCCUGACGGAGCAACGCCGCGUGAGUGAUGAAGGUCUUCGGAUCGUAAAACUCUGUUAUUAGGGAAGAACAAAUGUGUAAGUAACUAUGCACGUCUUGACGGUACCUAAUCAGAAAGCCACGGCUAACUACGUG
rnacentral:rRNA from 1 species